GCUUUGGUGGUAUAGUGGUGAGCAUAGCUGCCUUCUGAGCAGUUGCCCCGUGUUCGAUUCCCGGCCAGUGCA
rnacentral:tRNA from 1 species